rnacentral:rRNA from 1 species
AGAUUGAACGCUGGCGGCAUGCCUAACACAUGCAAGUCGAACGGGAGUAGCAAUACUCUAGUGGCGGACGGGUGAGGAAUACGUAGGAAUUUGCCCUUAAGUGGGGGAUAACCCGGGGAAACCCGGAUUAAUACCGCAUGACCUCGAAAGAGCAAAGUGGGGGAUCGCAAGACCUCACGCUUUUGGAGAAGCCUACGUCGGGUUAGCUAGUUGGUGAGGUAAUGGCUCACCAAGGCGACGAUCCGUAACUGGUCUGAGAGGAUGAUCAGUCACACCGGAACUGAGACACGGUCCGGACUCCUACGGGAGGCAGCAGUGGGGAAUAUUGGACAAUGGGCGCAAGCCUGAUCCAGCAAUGCCGCGUGUGUGAAGAAGGCC